GGAGAGGUGCGAGAGAGGCCGAAUCGGGCUCCCUGCUAAGGAGUUGACCUGGCAAACCCGGGUCCGGGGGUUCGAAUCCCCCCCUCUCCG
rnacentral:tRNA from 1 species